rnacentral:rRNA from 1 species
GACGAACGCUGGCGGCGUGCCUAAUACAUGCAAGUAGGACGCAGUUGCGAACGGGUGAGUAACGCGUAGGUAACUACCUAUUAGAGGGGGCUAACUAUUGGAAACGAUAGCUAAUACCGCAUACUAGUAGAUGGACCUGCGUUGUAUUAGCUAGUAGGUAGGGUAAUGGCCUACCUAGGCAACGAUAAAUAGCCGACCUGAGAGGGGGAUCGGCCACACGGGGACUGAGGAACGUACCAGAAUCCUACGGGAGGAAGAAGUAGGGAAUGUUAGGGAAUGGGGGGAACCCUGACCGAGCAUCGCCGCGUGAGUGAAGAAGGUUUUCGGAUCGUAAAGCUCUGUUGUUAAGGAAGCGGUACUUGACCAGAAAGGGACGGCUAACUACGUGCCAGCAGCCGCGGUAAUUC